CCCCUUCAGAAUGUUUUCCUUAAUAAGCACAAUAGCUCUAUACCCACCUGUGAAGAAAGAUGAGCAGGUGUGCAGACCUACUCCAGGCAACAGGCUCCAGCUGGGAUCACUCACCUCUCUACUACCCACAGCUACAAGGGAGCAGGACAUGCCUCUGUUGAGAGGCUUGGUAGUCAGUGCUUCUAUCUUAACUGGCUUGGUUCUUAAAGUUUAGAAGCAAGCCAAGGCAAAGCUGCACUGUGAUCAAUGGAAAGCAGAGAUUGAAAGGAAAAGGGAUAUAAAGGGAUGGAGGUCGGCACCAUAUGUACUGGUGGGCUCUAAUCUGCUGGAGCUGCCCCACUCUUGGUGUGUGUGACAACCAAAUACAACUUACUGGUGCAGCAGAGCACAUUGCUAAUAUCUGCCAGGAUCGACAGCUCUCAGCUUCGAGGUAUUGCCCCAGUUACUAGGCUGGAGACCUGCUUGUGCACCCCAAAGGAAGAUGAGCUACCAGCUUGAGAAAACAUCCCCUGAGUAAGCAGUGGGAACAUGACACGGAGACGGAUGGAGUUGCUGUGAAGGUGACAGGGUGGAGUAUUGUUGCCUUUCAAGGUCAAUUUUUUUUAUGGACACAUAUGAAAAAUGAAUUCACUGGGAGCAGGGACUUCAGCAGAUCUCUGGUUCAGCCUUCUGCUCCAAGCAAAGUGACUAGACUACUAUGGGAUUUCAGGUCUUGAAAACCACAAGACUUAUCCUGCACUGCCUCCCUUGCCAAUCUGAAUUAUUGCACAGCUGCUUUCAGGGUGCAAAAGUCUCUCUUCGAAUCCAGUCUCUGCCUCUCAGUUCUUCCUAUACCCAGUGUCUUCCCACUGUGCACUCAGCAGUGCAGUGAGAAUGCCUCCAUUUACUGGGUAACCUCAAAGGGUCUCCUGCUAGACACCCCUGAGCUGUCUUGUCUUCAGGUUUAACAUGCCUGGGUCCUUCAGCCUCUCCUCAGAGGGCAGGUGCUCAAACCCUGGCCAGCCUAGUGGUACUUUGCUGAACCCAUGUGUUGGGGGACCCAAAACUGUGUGCACUAUUCCAAAUGCAAUACAAAAAAAGGCUUAUCUUAAAGGGGUCAUCCCGUGUCUUGAUCUGGUGACUGUGCUUCUGAUACCAGCAGCCCAAGGUUGCUGUAUAACCUUCUGUGCUGCCAGAACAUGCUGCUGGCUCACAUUUAGAUGCUUGUCCUUCAAGGCCUCUGAGGUCUUUCGGAAGAUGAACUCCACAGGCAGUGGAGUGGACUUGCUGAAUGACUCUGGAGCGCUCUUCAAAAGCCCUUAUAUCUCCAUUGCCCAUAUAGAAAAUUGACUGAUUUUUUUCUCUGAAGGAAGCUUUAUAAAUCUGGCCGUGUUUACCCUACCAGUCUUUGUUCAAGAACAGCACUGCGUCAUCUAGAGAUGUUAACUCAGAAAUAAUUGUUGCCUGGAUGGCUGUUAACUAUGCAGCUCCUUGUUAGCAUUUUCAGAGGCACCUGAAGAUUUAAUGGGAAAGAAAACAUUUAUUCCAAAUUACAUUGAUUUGUAGUACAAACAGAAUGUAUGCAGGUAUUCCAGUAUAAAUAGGUGAAAGAGAAAACAUCAGAAAAUGCAUGUACAUAAAGAUUUGCUUGCUUGCCACUGCUCCUGAAAAUAGCAGCUGCUGGUGUGGCAUCAGACUGCUUUUGCACAGGAAUGAGUGCAAACCAUGCACCUUCCUUCUUUCACCCUUGUCCAUGGCUUGUACCCAGCAAUAAAUGAUUGGGACAGCACCAUUCCUCUUGCAUCUGACUGUAGCUCAAGUUCUUUUUUCUGUUCUCCAUUGCCUUUCAAUGUAAUCUUUCUUUUUCUUAUUUUUUUCUCUUUUUUAGCUGUUUCUAGAUGUGCCUUUUUCUUAGGAUGAGCUGCAUCUCUCAGAUAAUAUGCCAUACUCCCAUACCGUAGAGAGACAGAUCAACUUCUCAAUCUCUGCAAUUCUGAAAUGCUGAGAUUGUAGGUUAUUGCCAAAUUGUCAGGACAAAUCAACAGCGAGGGCUUAUCCAAAGGUUCCUGUUGGCAACUCAGGCUGUUUCUAGAGAGUGGAUCCAAAAGUAGUCUGCAAAAUUGUUGUUUGCCAGCAAAUGCAGAAGCCUGGUCCUAUAGCUCUGAGAAUGACCUUACUGGCCUCAGUGGGACUGUUGUGUGACAGGGAUUGCAGGAUCAGAUCCUCCAGUAUGUUUGAUAAAUGAUGCAUGUCCAUGGGGAAAUUGAUUUGUUUAGCCAUUCAUGAAUGCAUGCAUUUUGAAAAAGCAAAAUUUUGCUUACAGUUUCCAAAGUAAAAGAGCAAAUUUCCUGUCUACUUCUAAAAAUGUAACAUUGUCUUAAUGUCAAGAUGACAAUCUGAAACAACUCAUAUAAUAGGAUCUAAAUUAUGGUGCAGAAUCAUUAUCUCCCAUCAUCACAGUUAGCUACAAAUAAUGAAGUAAAGCUGUAUGGCACUGAAACAGAGGGAAAUGUUCACAUUAACACAAAAAGUAAAUUAGUGAGACCACAUUCACGGUUAGUGGUCUGUUUGUUUUCCUUCUGUCUGCAUGAAGCAGGAUGGGCUACAGUAAUAAGGAAAUACAGGUUUCUCUUCUUUCUCUGCUCAGUUUAACACCAGUUUGUCUUCUUUCUCUGCUCAGCUUCAGAGGGCAGGAGACAGGUCUGCUUUGGUUCUCUGAUAACCCAGUAUCGCAGAGCCAGGACAGGAGGUCACUGUGUUCUGUAGUCUGCAAAAGAUGUGCAAAGCACAACAAGGGGGAGACGAACUGGCCUUGAUUUAAGGUAUCUAUAAACAACAGUGUGGGAAAGCUGAGUGUCUUCUACUGCAUGCUUCUGUUAACAAGGUAAAAAGCUGUAAAAUCAGCAAAAUAGGAUUACAGUGUAAGCGGUACUCAGCUAACUGCAGAGUGAUUUGGCCUUCAGGCUAGGAGGAGUUACCCAGCUGUCAUGGUUUAACCCCAGCUGUCCAUCAAGUACCACACAACUGUUUGCUCACUGGCCCCCUCCCCAGUGUAGUAUCUGAAGAUGAGUAUCUGAAACUAAAGAUAAUCCUUCUAGGUUGAAAUAAAUAUAAUAAUGGGAAAAAACAAAACAAAACCCCAAACAAAAAACCAGAACAAAGCCAAACUAUGAUAGAAAGAGAGGAAUAAAACCUAAGAAUAAGUGAUGCACAAUACCACUUAUCACCACUCACUAACCAAUGCCCAACCUCUCCCUGGGCCGCCCUCUGUGGCUCCCAGUCACUUUUCCCCAGUUCAUGGAGUGAGAAUGACAUUCCAUGGUAUGGAAUAUCCCUUUGCCAGUUCAGGUCACCUGCUCUGGCUGUUCUCCCUCCCCGUGUUGUGGCAAAGCCUGGGCAACAGAAAAUACCUGCAUUCAGAGGAAACACUACCUAGCAACAACUGAAACACCAGUGUGUUUUCAGCAUUAUUCACAUACUAAAUACAUAGCAUUGCACUGCACAAAUUUCUUCUAUUUCAGCUGAAACAAAACCACCAACUUGUCAGCAUUGUCCUUCAUAUAGAUGAAAAGCCAGUACCUGAGCCAAGGGUUCAGAAAUAACCAAGUGUGUGCUGCUGCAGCUGUGUGUUCUGUGGGAUGUAGCUGGAUUCUGUCUGUGCCUCCAAAUGGGUGUGGGCUACCUACCUGCCACCUUCAGAAUCUGGCCUGGGUGUUGCCCUUCCCUUAUAGCAGAGGCUGCUUCAGCUUGUGAGAGUACUUUAUUGCACUAGUAGAAACAAUUCUGGAUGGCUGAAGAUCACAACACAGACAUCUACUAGAAAGAAAACGUCAGUUUGGAAAAGAAGGGCUAAAUCCUUUCUUGUUCAUCCCAAAAACCUAGAGCACAAACUGAAAACAUCUGAGGCUGAACACCCAAACAUCUGCAUGCAAAUACAGCAAGAAUAUGCUGCCUAGUCCAAAGGAUCUACAAAACUCUCUUCAGGUGUCUUACCACACAUACCUUAUACCCAUGUCAUUUGCUGCAAAUCCUAAUCUGUCACAGGAGCAAAGCCAGAAGAGGGAGGAAGAACGUACCAAUGUCCUACUUCUCACAAGUACAGACCGUUAGAGGUGUGUGGGAAAAGUGUACCUUGAGUAUGAGCAAGUGCAAUGUGCCUCACUCUGUCUCAAAGUCACGAACACUGUCAAUAUAUACUGUUGUCCUUAUGGACCUUGGCUUUGUCAGUAUCCAGGGCUUCUGAAGGGCAGCAAUCCUUGCCCUUCAAAGAAGGCUAACACCUCAAGGGAAUAAACUUUUGUGGUCCCCAGAGGUGAGCAGUCUGGCCCAGUCGCACUCCCAGAACACAGACCUGCAAAGGAGUCAAGUCAGGUCUCCCUCCUUCUCUAGGACAUCACAAACGAAAGACAGGCUUAAGGUUUUUUGUGAGGGAAGACAAAUUGCCUCAGACAUGAAUUUCUCAAAUGUUAUUUGGAAGUUUAAGUCCUUUUGCUUAUUGAAUUUCUCCCAGAGCAUGCACAGAGAUGCUAGGGUUUAUUAGCAUAGCUUAUGAAAGAUGUUGCACUAAUUACUUAGUUCCACAUGAUGUGUUAGGAGAUAUGGGAUUAAUAAAUGUAGUUUGUUAUUAAAAAAUAAAAAAAACUUGUUGAGGAGGGAAGAUAUGCACUGCAAUAUGCUUGCUUAUCAAGCCCUUGGUCUUUCAAUCUUUAAAGCAUAUCAGCAUUUCCAGAUGAAUAAACUGUUUGUGAAGUAUUUGUUGUACCCUGCUUGAGAUGGAUGACAGAAAAUACAACUGUCAAAUAUUCAACUUUCUCAAAGUUUAAGCAAAAACCCAAACAAAUCCAGAUAUUUAAGCACAUGUACAAGUUGUUAGGUUAAUCUUGCAUAAAUAGUUUUUCUUAGCAUGCUGUCCCAAGGUGUAAAGGCACCUCCUAAAUAAGUUGGGUUAGACUAUAUUCUCCUUAUUGUACACACAAAAAUUAGGAGUUACAAAAAUCCUUUUUUGUGACCAUCUUUGCUCAGUGUUUGGUAACUCCUGAGAAUUGUGUGCUGAUGGGUUUGGGUGAGUUUUCUGUUUUAGCUUGGUUUAGGUUUGGUUGUCAGGUUUUGGUUUGGAGUUUUUUUAUUGUUUGGUGGAUUUGGGGUUGUUAUUCUUCAAGUAAGUAAAAAUUUGGAGGUUUACAAAGGACUCACAAUUCAAGUAAUGAGAUAGUUUUAAAAAGUCUCUUGCUUUGAGCUAGUUGUGUAAUGAUGGGUUAAUGUUUUCUAAACAGAUUCCUGAAUCUAUUUUGAAGAUGGAUGUGUUAGAUUCUCUCAUUAUGUACACCUGUGUUAUGUAAUUCUCUGAUAGAUGGGGCUUAUAUAUUUGGACAGUUUUCUACCAUUAAUUUCUAAUUAGAUACUUGUCAACAGUGUGAAUUGGUAUUGCUUUUGUUCAGCAACCCUGUGAUUGCUCUGUCCACCCUAAUUAAUGAACAGCUUCCUUAUAAGUAGAUUAAUAGAGGUAGUUCCAUUACCUAAAGUUAUUUCGGUCACUGUGUUAUAGUACACCUCAUUAGAGAAUUGUAAAAUGAAGCAGCAUUUCAACUAGCUACGACUGAAUACCUGAUUCUUUUUGUUCUGUCAGCUAUUCUUUUAACUGUUUUUCUUUGUGGAUCUUUUUGAGAAAAUCCUAGCUUCUGCCCACUGUUCUUGUGCAC